CGCAGAUUUCGGCCGGAAAAAUUCGGCGUGCACGCAUCGCCAUUGGGUAGACGCGCGUUAACGAGGCGCGAGGGCCCGCGGACGGUGAACAGUGGUACAACGGGUAUUUGAUUUUUACUGUUUUUCCCCACUCUCGUAAAAAUAACGUCGGCGAUAGAGAUUUCCGAAAGAGACUGUGCGGGCGCAUUAGCCGCGCUUUUCCAAAGUACAGCCGCUACCGCAAGUCUAAUUGGUAAUGACGGGUUCCGCCGCAGGGUUGUACAUCUUC